UACGGAGGGGACUAGCGUUGUUCGGAAUUACUGGGCGUAAAGAGCUCGUAGGCGGCUCAGUAAGUCGGGUGUGAAACCUCCAGGCUCAACCUGGAGACGCCACCCGAUACUGCUGUGGCUAGAGUCCAGUAGGGGAGCGUGGAAUUCCUGGUGUAGCGGUGAAAUGCGCAGAUAUCAGGAGGAACACCAGCGGCGAAGGCGGCGCUCUGGGCUGGAACUGACGCUGAGGAGCGAAAGCGUGGGGAGCGAACAGG
rnacentral:rRNA from 1 species